rnacentral:rRNA from 1 species
AGUGAACGCUGGCGGUAGGCCUAACACAUGCAAGUCGAACGGCAGCACAGUAAGAGCUUGCUCUUACGGGUGGCGAGUGGCGGACGGGUGAGGAAUACAUCGGAAUCUACUUUUUCGUGGGGGAUAACGUAGGGAAACUUACGCUAAUACCGCAUACGACCUACGGGUGAAAGCAGGGGAUCUUCGGACCUUGCGCGAUUGAAUGAGCCGAUGUCGGAUUAGCUAGUUGGCGGGGUAAAGGCCCACCAAGGCGACGAUCCGUAGCUGGUGUGAGAGGAUGAUCAGCCACCCUGGAACUGAGACACGGUCCAGACUCCUACGGGAGGCAGCAGUGGGGAAUAUUGGACAAUGGGCGCAAGCCUGAUCCAGCCAUACCGCGUGGGUGAAGAAGGCCUUCGGGUUGUAAAGCCCUUUUGUUGGGAAAGAAAAGCAGCAGGUUAAUACCCCGCUGUUCUGACGGUACCCAAAGAAUAAGCACCGGCUAACUUCGUG